AAAUUGAAGAGUUUGAUCAUGGCUCAGAUUGAACGCUGGCGGCAGGCCUAACACAUGCAAGUCGAACGGUAGCACAGAGAGCUUGCUCUCGGGUGACGAGUGGCGGACGGGUGAGUAAUGUCUGGGAAACUGCCUGAUGGAGGGGGAUAACUACUGGAAACGGUGGCUAAUACCGCAUAACGUCGCAAGACCAAAGAGGGGGACCUUCGGGCCUCUUGCCAUCAGAUGUGCCCAGAUGGGAUUAGCUAGUUGGUGAGGUAA
rnacentral:rRNA from 6 species